rnacentral:rRNA from 1 species
UACGUAGGGUGCGAGCGUUGUCCGGAAUCAUUGGGCGUAAAGAGCGCGUAGGUGGCUGCAUAAGUCCGUUGUGAAAGUCAAAGGCUCAACCUUUGAAAGCCGAUGGAUACUGUGGAGCUAGAGUACGGAAGAGGCGAGUGGAAUUCCUGGUGUAGCGGUGGAAUGCGCAGAUAUCAGGAGGAGCACCAAUAGCGAAGGCAGCUCGCUGGGACGUUACUGACACUGAGGCGCGAAAGCGUGGGGAGCGAACAGG